rnacentral:rRNA from 1 species
AUGAUGCUCUACAAAAUCCACUCCCAUGCCCAAAUCCAAGACCUGCAGGCCCGCUCCGAUGAGCUGGGCCACUCCAAUAAGUCCAUGCUUGUGAGUCUUGUCUCUCUGGAGUCGGUGCGCAUAGCGCGCGAGUCGUAUGCACUCCUCCGCCCGCUGAUCAUGGAGUCGAGGUCCUGGGAAUGCCCGCAGGUGGAUUCCCUCUCGGACGUGGCAGGCUUGUCGCUGGAAAUCCAAAAGCUCGAGCAUGAUGUGUUACCCCAGCUCAAGCUUCAGGAGGGUAAGCUGGAACGGGGUGCCCUGGAAGCCCUCCUACUCAUGAAGAACUCAGCAAGUAAGCUCUUACAUUCGAGGAAGUGCUUUGAGGAAGCCUUGGGCGUAUUGCUUGCCAAGGAGGAUCUGGUCUCAGCCAAAGUCAAAAGGCCGAGCAUGAUGCUAAACGAUACUGCUGUUCAUGUACUCAAAGCUAACAACACUCGCUUGUUUAAGGAGCUUGUCCAGCUGGUCACCGAUGUGUUGGAGACCCCGGUUCGUUUCUGUGAUACUCGUAAGCAUAAGUAUUCUGAUGAGUAG